UUCAACUUGAAUCCACCGGGUUUGGUUCCUUCCUUUGAUCAACGUUAGCCACCCAAGUGUUUGGCCUCUAGAGGUGAUCCACCAAGAAAGAAUAAAUAUUCAAGAAGAUGGGUGUUUGGCAAAACCCUAAUUUUCUAUCUCAUAGAAAAUGAGCGUUGUGGCGACCCCAAAUCCGGGUACUUGCAACCCGAACUCGGUUCUCCAUGAUACCAUUUCUUUAAGCUAAAUAAUACUAAAUAAUAAUACAUUCGAACUUAAUUUACAUACAUCAAAGUUACUUCCCCAACGACGUGACCUUCAAAUACAUUCCUUACAAUACCUGACAAUAGAUUCCAUUGUCUUACUAACUAUAACCAUUAACUCAUAAUAUAAACUCAUUCGAACAGCUUUCCUUUCCCCUUGUUCGUGCCUGAGCCUUCAGGUUGCUCAUACAUAACUGAAAACAUUUAAUUUAAGCAAGGAUGAGCAUUUGAGUGCCCAACAAGUAAUAGCAAUUAUAUAUAUAAGCUGAAAGAAUAUAAGUAUUCUCUUUACAUAACACUUCUACAACGAAUCGAAAGUUGUGAAGUAAUCUGUACUGAUAAAAAAUUCACAUAACAACUCUUUUUCAAUUUCUUAAAAUUAGGCUCCACCCAUGAAUAGGGUUUAAGAAACAUACUAUAAACAUUCUUUUUCAUUUUCGAAAAGGUUUAGCAGAAAUUCAUCCGCAAACCGCUCUAGCUUAUGGGUACGGAGGGUGAUCAGCCCCGUUGUACCCUGUAUUGAUCAAUACUACAUAACUCUGAACGAAAUUCAUCGUUUUAUUCUAUCCACCUCGGGCGCAAAAAUCUUCCCAUAUAGGGAUGUUCAUACAUGCCUGGUUCCAAACCCGAAGGUUUUUAAUCUUGCUCAACAAUAAUAUGUAAUUCAACAUAUAUAUAUAUAUACGGGUAAUUGACAAAGGUGUAUCAACAUGUGAAUAACUGCCAUGAUUAUCCAAGAGGGGACACUUGUAUAACCAUUUAGAAAUCAACUUAACAAAAUAUAUAUCUGAGCAAACAUGUUGAUAAUCAAAGCGUACAUAAUCUGUACAGGAAUAGAAAAGAAUUUUGAAACUUCUUACUCAUGUCCAUUACAUAAAGGAAAUGCAAAGGUAAGAUACUUGCCUGAUUCGCUGAUUACAAAUCUCAACUUAGGGUUUAUCUCUUUAUCACAACCUAUCAAUAAUCAAAUCAUUCGUUCGAUUAGAACAAUAUAUCAUAACACAUAGUACUGUCUAUUACAGUCAGCACACAGUCCAAUCACGUCAUCACAUAAUCGCAGUGAUCAUACUUUUAGUUCAUAUUCUAUACUUGAAAUAUUUUUAUACAUUUUUUUUAUAUCUCAUCCAUGCU
rnacentral:lncRNA from 1 species